GACCUGGUGGCGUAACGGUAACGCGCGCAUUUGUAGUCUACUUCUACAAUAUUGCACUAUACUGCGAGUCCCUCGUUCGAUUCGGGGUCGGGUCG